rnacentral:lncRNA from 1 species
UGCAGAUUGGCUGCAGUAGGUUCAUUGUAGGAGUAGGGGUGCAUCUAGAUGGAAUCUAUCGAUCUUGAUAGGUUAAGAGAGAUCCUAUAUGAUUUAUGAGACUGAGUUCGUAAAUCCUCGGCCGGGGUAAUAUGUACAGUGGAAGAGGAGUUUUCCAUUCUCGAACUUAAGUCGAAUAAAUCUUGACAUAUGACAGACGAUGGGGUUUGACGAGUUAUCCAUGACCUCCAUUCUGUAGGGAUCCAUGAUAGAAGGACUGUAUCAUACGAUAACUGCACCUAGAGGUUCAUCAUUUUAUUCUGCUGGGUAGCCACUACAUACUGCUAGGUGUCACUGGUGGAUGGUGAGACUCACGGGGACCAUCUUGAUGGCCGAUGAUUCUCGGUGAGUUGAGUUGGAAUUGUUCCAACCCAUUGAAAGGAGUUUUCAAUGAUAUUGUGAUAGAGAUCGCAAUAUAUCUCACUACCAGACAGAAUAGAACCUAUGGGGUCACACACAUUAGAGGUAUUGACCGAUCCGAUGGUUGAAUUGUGAUU